rnacentral:lncRNA from 1 species
CUGAAAUUUCUUGGUGUUUGAUUGCGACUGAGAAAAAGAUUUAGAAGAAGAGAUCACUUUAGAUAUCAUAAAGAAAGAUUUUACUAUUCAAUAGUCCACCCAAGGAGUUAAAAAAUUAGUAUGUUCUGAAAGAUUGCAAAAAGGCCAAUAGAAGUUUGCCCUGGACUGGGGCCCAGUUUUCUAAGAGUGGCAUUAAGCUGAGAUUGUGGCCAGUGCAUUGGUUUCACUCAGCCUUGCUGUUGGUACCUGCUGCUCACCCUCAAGGACAGCCAGGGAGAAGACCGCUGUGGUGUAGCAAUAAAACCAGAGCAAGGUGCUAAGGCCAAUUGGCCAGAAAAAUAUCUUUGACAGCCUUACUCAUUCCCAAGGGAUGACAGAGGCAGAAAAUGUAAGGAAUGCUUUUGCAAAAUAAUGAGAAAGGAAAAGAAUAAAGAGAGAGAAGAUGAAAAAGAGGGAGGGGGGAAGAAAAAAAGGGAGGAAAUUUAAAAAAUCAUUGUCGAGAUGUUUACUUCCCAUUUCCAUCCUUUUCUGUUUUCUAGGUAUUGAAAAGCUAGUGUUUCUGUGAGCUAAUCACAAAGCUGGAGAAAAGCAUCUUGUGAAUGAACAGCUUGAAGUCAAAAGGCAGCUCUGCUGAGUAUGUCAGAGCUUCUCAAACUUGCAAAAGCACCUGCAGAUGCUCUUUGAAGGGACUUGGCCUGCAGCUGAAGAUCCUGCAUUAUUAUCAUGAGCUCAGGUGAGGCAGGAGCUUGGAAUCCAAGAA